AGAGAGAGACAUGCGCGCAUAUCAAUAAGCGGAGGAAAAGAAACUAACAAGGAUUCCCUUAGUAACGGCGAGUGAAGCGGGAAGAGCUCAAAUUUGAAAUCUUCAAGGUUUUACCUUGACGAAUUGUAGUUUAAAGAAGUGUUUUCUGCUGAAGUUUUGGUAAAAGUUCUUUGGAAUAGGACAUCAUAGAGGGUGAGAAUCCCGUAUUUGACCAUUAUUUUCAGCUUUGUGAUACACUUUCAAAGAGUCGGAUUGUUUGGGAAUGCAGUCCAAAAUGGGUGGUAAAUUUCAUCUAAAGCUAAAUAUUGGCGAGAGACCGAUAGCGAACAAGUACCGUGAGGGAAAGAUGAAAAGAACUUUGAAAAGAGAGUUAAACAGUACGUGAAAUUGUCAAAAGGGAAGCGUUUGACACCAGUGUUGUUUUCUCGAAAAUCAAUUAAAAAUGGCUCGAUUUUGUAUUGUUGAGACCUUAAAAGCUCACUGUACAUUUUUCGUGUCUUUUUUAAUGCACUUUUCGUUUAACAAGUCAACAUCAGUUUCUUUUGUUGUAAAAGGGUCAUUGGAAGGUGGCUUUCUUUCGGAGAAAGUGUUUAUAGCCUUUGGCCUCUGCAAUCGGAGAGACUGAGGUCUGCAGCGUAGACUCUUCGGGGUUAGAUACAUUUGUGCUAAGUUAUAGCUUUUUAUAGACAACUUGUUGACUAUAAUUAGUCUUGUAGCUUACUCGCUUAUGCUAUUUUACCUACGCUUAGGAUGUUGAGUCGUAGAGCACGCAG
rnacentral:rRNA from 1 species